UUUUACGAGGUGCUGCAUGGUUGUCGUCAGCUCGUGCCGUGAGGUGUCGGGUUAAGUCCCAUAACGAGCGCAACCCCUACCUUUAGUUGCCAUCAGGUUAAGCUGGGGACUCUAAAGGAACUGCCUACGCAAGUAGUGAGGAAGGCGGGGAUGACGUCAAAUCAGCAGGCCCUUACGUCCAGGGCUACACACGUGCUACAAUGGCCGAUACAGAGGGCAGCUACCUGGUGACAGGAUGCAAAUCUCCAAAGUCGGUCUCAGUUCGGAUCGGAGUCUGCAACCCGACUCCGUGAAGUUGGAUUCGCUAGUAAUCGCGCAUCAGCCAUGGCGCGGUGAAUACGUUCCCGGGCCUU
rnacentral:rRNA from 1 species